rnacentral:rRNA from 1 species
CGGUGAUAUAAUUAAACGGCUGCAGUACUCUGACUGUGCAAAGGUAGCAUGAUCAAUUGUCUGGUAAUUCCAGUCUGGUAUGAAUGGUUAGACGAUAGGAACGCUGUCUUUUUCUCUUUUGUUGAAAUUAACUACCAGGUGCGGAGGCCUGGAUUGGAGAGUGGGACGAGAAGACCCUAUAGAGCUUUAACUUUAGCUAUAAAAUCAUUGUUAUGGUGUGUGUUUUAGUUGGGGCAACUAUUCUUAUUAUUAAACAUUUAUAGUAAUCUAGUAAAUUUAAUUUGUGUGGACCCUAAAUUUUUAGGUAGUUAGAAAAAGUUACCUUAGGGAUAACAGCGUAAAAUUUCUCUUGAGAGUUCUUAUUAA